rnacentral:rRNA from 1 species
UACGGAGGGUGCAAGCGUUAUCCGGAUUCUCUGGGUUUAAAGGGUGCGUAGGUGGUCCGUUAAGUCAGUUGUGAAAUCCCCGGGCUCAACCCGGGAACUGCUUCUGAUACUGGCGGACUUGAGGCCAGUAGAGGUCACUGGAACUGACGGUGGAGCGGUGAAAUGCGUAGAUAUCGUCAGGAACGCCGGUGGUGAAGACGGGUGACUGGGCUGGCUCUGACACUGAGGCACGAAAGCGUGGGGAGCGAACGGG